rnacentral:rRNA from 1 species
GACAGAGGGCGCAAACGUUGUUCGGAAUUACUGGGCGUAAAGCGUGUGUAGGCGGCCCUGUAAGUCGGGUGUGAAAGCCCCGGGCUCAACCCGGGAAGUGCACUCGAAACUGCGAGGCUCGAGUAUCGGAGAGGUUGGUGGAAUUCUCGGUGUAGAGGUGAAAUUCGUAGAUAUCGAGAGGAACACCGGUGGCGAAGGCGGCCAACUGGACGAAUACUGACGCUGAGACACGAAAGCGUGGGGAGCAAACAGG